rnacentral:rRNA from 1 species
AUGUACCAGCUAAUCCGUGAUCUUCAUGCCCACUCAAAUCUCCCGUGGGUGGCUAUCGGUGAUUUUAACGAGAUAUUAGUAUCAUCAGAGAAAGAAGGAGGUGCUCCUCGGCAGCAGGCUAGACUCCAAGCCUUCCAGGAUGCAUUAUCGGACUGUUCUUUGGAGGAUAUCGGCUACCAUGGCGACAAGUUUACUUUCUUCAGAGGACUAAGAGAAAGGCUGGAUAGGGCCGUCUCGAACUCGGGUUGGAUGGAGAUGCAUCCAUCAUGUGGACUGAUUAAUCUGGACAUGGGCAAGUCGGAUCGUCGACCGAUUUGCUUAGAUACGGAGUCUUGGCCGGAGUUGCUGCGCAACGUCGUCAAGGGGGACGGAAAUUUGAGGCGAGGUGGCUGGCAGAGGAAGCUGUCGAAGAAGUAG